AUCCGGAAAAUCAAGGCUGAGGCGUGAUGACGAGGCACUACGGUGCUGAAGCAACAAAUGCCCUGCUUCCAGGAAAAGCCUCUAAGCAUCAGGUAACAUCAAAUCGUACCCCAAACCGACACAGGUGGUCAGGUAGAGAAUACCAAGGCGCUUGAGAGAACUCGGGUGAAGGAACUAGGCAAAAUGGUGCCGUAACUUCGGGAGAAGGCACGCUGAUAUGUAGGUGAAGCGACUUGCUCGUGGAGCUGAAAUCAGUCGAAGAUACCAGCUGGCUGCAACUGUUUAUUAAAAACACAGCACUGUGCAAACACGAAAGUGGACGUAUACGGUGUGACGCCUGCCCGGUGCCGGAAGGUUAAUUGAUGGGGUCAGCGCAAGCGAAGCUCUUGAUCGAAGCCCCGGUAAACGGCGGCCGUAACUAUAACGGUCCUAAGGUAGCGAAAUUCCUUGUCGGGUAAGUUCCGACCUGCACGAAUGGCGUAAUGAUGGCCAGGCUGUCUCCACCCGAGACUCAGUGAAAUUGAACUCGCUGUGAAGAUGCAGUGUACCCGCGGCAAGACGGAAAGACCCCGUGAACCUUUACUAUAGCUUGACACUGAACAUUGAGCCUUGAUGUGUAGGAUAGGUGGGAGGCUUAGAAGUGUGGACGCCAGUCUGCAUGGAGCCGACCUUGAAAUACCACCCUUUAAUGUUUGAUGUUCUAACGUUGACCCGUAAUCCGGGUUGCGGACAGUGUCUGGUGGGUAGUUUGACUGGGGCGGUCUCCUCCUAAAGAGUAACGGAGGAGCACGAAGGUUGGCUAAUCCUGGUCGGACAUCAGGAGGUUAGUGCAAUGGCAUAAGCCAGCUUGACUGCGAGCGUGACGGCGCGAGCAGGUGCGAAAGCAGGUCAUAGUGAUCCGGUGGUUCUGAAUGGAAGGGCCAUCGCUCAACGGAUAAAAGGUACUCCGGGGAUAACAGGCUGAUACCGCCCAAGAGUUCAUAUCGACGGCGGUGUUUGGCACCUCGAUGUCGGCUCAUCACAUCCUGGGGCUGAAGUAGGUCCCAAGGGUAUGGCUGUUCGCCAUUUAAAGUGGUACGCGAGCUGGGUUUAGAACGUCGUGAGACAGUUCGGUCCCUAUCUGCCGUGGGCGCUGGAGAACUGAGGGGGGCUGCUCCUAGUACGAGAGGACCGGAGUGGACGCAUCACUGGUGUUCGGGUUGUCAUGCCAAUGGCACUGCCCGGUAGCUAAAUGCGGAAGAGAUAAGUGCUGAAAGCAUCUAAGCACGAAACUUGCCCCGAGAUGAGUUCUCCCUGACUCCUUGAGAGUCCUGAAGGAACGUUGAAGACGACGACGUUGAUAGGCCGGGUGUGUAAGCGCAGCGAUGCGUUGAGCUAACCGGUACUAAUGAACCGUGAGGCUUAACCUUACAACGCCGAAGCUGUU
rnacentral:rRNA from 1 species